rnacentral:piRNA from 1 species
CAGAGCACCAGGUGAAGGACUGUCACCGU